CCCACUAGGCGUGUCAAUUGACUUCUAUGGACACGGCGCCGUCUCUACUUUAAGCAUGUGGCAAACUUAUGAAAAUUUCUAUAUGUUGUGGCAUGAAUUUUUGGGUCAAUUUUUCUAUUAAGGUUCAUUAAAGGCGGCCUUACUCAUGUCCCCGAUGCUUCUCUGACUUAAGCGCCUGUGUUGGUUGUGUCAAAGGAAACUUAUUGCCAAGACUAGGAGAGAAAAUGUUGGUAAAAAUUCAGGAAGUUUAGAAAUUAAUUAAUAAACUGAUAUUUCCUUUUUUUAAUUAGAAAUAUGUUCUUGAAAAUAAAUUAAUUGGAGGCGAAUAGGUCUAUGUUAAAGAGGAGGCAAAUAUGUUCCUUUUUUUUUUUUUAUAAAUUAGAAAUAGGUUUCUUGGAAAAAAAUGUUUGGAUCUUUAUUAUUAUUUUUAAUAAAAUUAUAUACAUAAAUAAUAUAUACAAUUUUUAUAUUGUAUUUCCCAAAUUACCCCUUCGUGUUAGUUAACCCCUGCUUAAUUUUCCCUCCGCAGAGAAGUUUAAAGAUUCUGUAACGUAUUCAUUCUUGAUACUCUUUUUUUAAUUCAAUGCAAAGAUUAAACAUAGACGGUGAAAACAAUCUGCUUGAUUGGUGGCGGUGGUUUCAAUGGCUCUCAACUCUGCGAGAAGCUCCUUUACAAAACUUAACAUACUGCCAUGUAUAGUCAUUGAUAUCUCCUCCACCAAGAUCAAACAUCUGCUGCGUCCUUAUUAUUGCUGGAUUGGUCGAGUUCAGUUUCAUGAAUUUGGCGUCAAGCGCGACAUUCUGCAUCAGCACCUUGAACCUCUCAUUGCAGCCUCUGAUCUUGUUAUUAAUCUGGCAGCCAUUUGCACUCCUGCUGAUUAUAUUAAUAGGCCUUUUGAUGCUAUUUACAGUAACUUUAUUGAUGCGAUUCCAGUGAACCUCCUGGCUUCUGCUAUGUCAAGGAUGCCAUUGAAGCUGUUCUUUUAAUGAUUGAAAACCCAGAACGAGCGAAUGGAAGGAUUUUUAAUGGGGUAAUACUGAAAAUGAAGUUACAAUAAAGCAAUCAGCAGAGUUAAUGAUAGAGGUUUAUGCAUAAUCCACUCAUCAACCUGCCUCUAAGCUUACAACUAUUGAUGUAAGCUCAAAUGAUUUCUAUGGUCGAGGCUGCAACAAGCAAAUCGCUGACAUGACAAAUAUCAAUAAGGAGCUUGCUUGGAAGCCUACAAUGCGCCUUUGUACCAUUCUGAAACUUUGUCUAGACCAGGCUAUAGAUUAGCAUAAGCAGGCAAUUAAGAAUGAACUUGACAUUGCCCGUGUGUUGCAGUUUUUCACUGGUUAUGAAUAUUUCCCUUGGAUUGAAUGCAAUUUUGUUUUUGUACAUAGAUUCCACAGUUUUGAGAGACAUUUCUGCUCAUUAUUCUUUGCUAAGGCCAUUGCUGCAAACGUUUAACCCAUUGUUAAUUUUAGACUGUUCUGCCUCUUCCAAAGCUUGAUUCCCUUGUGCUUUAUGCAAGC